rnacentral:lncRNA from 1 species
AUGUUGAAAAGGAACCUGUUGCAAGCAGUUUUCGUAACUUGGAUGAGUCCUUGGAUGAUUACUGAAGUGUUUUUUUCCAUUAGAGGAAAGAUACUUUCUCAAGCAGGAGUUACAACAUGGCUGCCACUACCAGCUGUCACUGUGAUGCUCUUAUUUCACUGUAAAACUCUUCAAGCAGCAAGCACCAACAGUGGUAGAGGGAAGCCUAGGGUGAUGGCUGUCUGGGACAUCUGUGAUAUAAAGAUUAGAGAUACCCAUAGAAGGGUCAGGGCACAUUUGAUUGGUUGUCCUGGUUAUUUUUCUGCAGGACCUUGUUGGAGUGAAUCUCUGUAACCCAGGACAAAAGAGUUGAAACUCCAAGGGGCCAGAGAUUUAGCUCAGUGGUUCCUCCGCCUGCCUCGAAAGCGCAAGGACCUGAGUUUGACCCCUGGAACCAAACUUAAAUGUCAGUGAUCUAUGGACAGGGAGAGUGAUGUGUUAGGCUUCUGCUGAACAAUUGUAAACAAAACAAAAUUUUGGAAAUAGUAAAAGAAGCCAUGGAAGCCCCUAUUCUUGUUGCAUCUUUGUAGAGAUAAACAAAACUUUUAAAUGAUACUUUAAAAGUCAGAGUUGACUCCAUUUAAGAUUUUAUUUUUAUUAGCCAGUGUAACUACUUUCUUUAAAGCAGAUUUUCAUGAUUUUUUGUGGGUUUUAAUAUACUUAUGUGUAUUAGCAACUCUAAAUGUUAUAUUUUAGAACACAGUUUUUCUCAUCUGUCAUUAAAGGCAUUCAGAGAUAUUUCAAGAUAAAUAUCAGUGAUAUCAUUUGGGACCUUCCCUGGCCCCUUUAAUGCACUUUUAUUUUGGGUGUGGAGGAGUUUCCCAGUAUGGCACUAUGUGAAAGAAAACUAUUUCUUACAUUGAAAAAAUAAUCCAAGUGGAUAUUUAUUGAGAUGGUAUUUUGAGUUAGAUGCAUUAUUUUGGAAGUUAAUUCAGAAGUUAUCUUGUUAAUGUUUUCCUUAGGUUGGUUUUUAUAAUUUAAAAAGUUUCUUGGAUAAUACAUUUUUUUUUUUGGGACCGGAGAUGGAACUUGGGUCCUUGCGCUUGCAGGGCCAGCAGCAGCACCACUGAGCUAAAUCCCCGGCCCAUGGAUAAUACAUUUUUUAGAAGUUUUUUUAGUUUUAGUUCUUUUCAGUGAAAUGUAUUUGAACAAGUUGGUUUUAAAAUUUUAAUAUAUCUUUUAGAAUACCUUUCAUAGAAUUUUUUUCUAUAUUUAUUUCUUGGUUGAACAUUUUCUUGAUAUAUGGUACUUGUAAAAGAGUAAGUUAUCUUACACCAACCAAUAUUAAUGGAUGACUUUAUCUUGGAAAAGCUAACUAUAUUUAAUUUAAGUAAAUAUCUUUGUUAUUUAAUAUAACUGUACUUUUACCAUGUAAUACAUAUUUGAAGCUUUGAAAAAGAUUGAAAUAAAGAAGAGAAUAAAAGAUGAUCAAAUUUCUACCACAGUUAAGUUUUUUGCUUAUCUCUGUUUCAAAUUAGUGCUUGCUGAAGGUACUGUUUUCUGGGAAAAAAUGUGUUGUAUUAUUUCUCAAUAAACCUUUGCCUUCUGCAAAGAAAUACUCAUUCAAGGUCAUUUUUGUGUUUUGUAUAUAUUUUAAUAACAUGACAUUUUUUGGAAUCUUUGCUGUGAAAAAAAAAAU